CCCUCACCCCCCAUAUCACCCAAUCCUAACUCCAUCUCAGAGCACAAGACACUGGACUGGGACACCCUGGGCCACAGACGGGGGCAGCGAGCUAAGAUCCAGGGUUCUGGGGUCAGCCCAGAGAUUGGGUACAGCUCAGACCCAGUCAGGGACAGGCCCAGCCAGGAACAGGCAAGUCACGUGGACACAUGUCCCCACAUAUGCUCCAUACCAGCCUAUCCCAGGGCGGAACUAAAGGUCCGUACCACCCUGCCUGCUGGGUCUUCUGACAGGGCAGCUAUUUCCAAGCUGAGGAAUCUGCAACCCGUGGUGAGAGGUACUCAGCACUGGGACUCGAUCCCAGCUGCCACAAUUUGGGGAGGGCCCCAGCCAUGAGCCCAACCUCUGCCAUGGAAUGUUAUCUGUGGGUCCAGAGG